rnacentral:rRNA from 1 species
UACGUAGGGGGCUAGCGUUGUCCGGAAUCAUUGGGCGUAAAGCGCGCGUAGGCGGCCAGAUAAGUCCGGUGUGAAAGUCACAGGCUCAACCUGUGAAUGCCGCUGGAAACUGUCUGGCUAGAGUCCGGAAGGGGCGAGUGGAAUUCCUGGUGUAGCGGUGAAAUGCGCAGAUAUCAGGAGGAACACCGAUGGCGAAGGCGACAUCCUGGACCGGUAUUGACGCUGAGGCGCGAAAGCCAGGGGAGCAAACGGG